UAGCGAGCGGCCGCCAAUUCCGACAUGGC
rnacentral:sRNA from 1 species